ACGUCUUUUACGCAGGAACCGAGUGUGAUCGUCUGGGCGGUGUGUUCACUCUGCGGGGAUGAUGGCCAGAGGAAGGAUGAUAGACAGACGACAGCUUGCAGACGAAGAUGGGAGCGUUCUACCUGUGAGCCUGGUCGAGCUUAUAUUUUAUGGAUACACAUGCAUGGAUACACAUACAUGGAUUCCCUACAAGGACCCUGCGCAUCAAAAGCAAUCUGUCAUCAAUGUUAAGUAGACAGAUUAAACGAAACGAAGAUAUGACAGGUGUACACCAUAUUUUUCUUUCAUUUAACCUCUGCAUGUUUCCCAGUCAAUAAAUGUUUUUAUCCAUUUUCUUUUGUUGAGAAAUGUCUUUGUACAGCACAAGUGUCGUAGAAGGUGCAUACAUGCACUUUUGUAUGAUGCUUGGCUGCAUGUGUAUCAACCAGCAAACACAU